rnacentral:rRNA from 1 species
GUGGGGAAUUUUGGACAAUGGGCGCAAGCCUGAUCCAGCAAUGCCGCGUGCAGGAAGAAGGCCUUCGGGUUGUAAACUGCUUUUGUACGGAACGAAACGGUUCUCUCUAAUACAGGGGGCUAAUGACGGUACCGUAAGAAUAAGCACCGGCUAACUACGUGCCAGCAGCCGCGGUAAUACGUAGGGUGCAAGCGUUAAUCGGAAUUACUGGGCGUAAAGCGUGCGCAGGCGGUUUUGUAAGACAGAGGUGAAAUCCCCGGGCUCACCCUGGGAACUGCCUUUGGGACUGCAGGGCUGGAGUGCGGCAGAGGGGGAUGGAAUUCCGCGUGUAGCAGUGAAAUGCGUAGAUAUGCGGAGGAACACCGAUGGCGAAGGCAAUCCCCUGGGCCUGCACUGACGCUCAUGCACGAAAGCGUGGGGAGCAAACAGGAUUAGAUACCCGGGUAGUCC